GAUGAACGCUGGCGGCGUGCUUAACACAUGCAAGUCGAACGGAAAGGCCCAAGCUUGCUUGGGUACUCGAGUGGCGAACGGGUGAGUAACACGUGGGUGAUCUGCCCUGCACUUCGGGAUAAGCCUGGGAAACUGGGUCUAAUACCGGAUAGGACCACAUUUUGGAUGGUGUGGUGGAAAGUUUUUCGGUGUGGGAUGAGCUCGCGGCCUAUCAGCUUGUUGGUGGGGUAAUGGCCUACCAAGGCGUCGACGGGUAGCCGGCCUGAGAGGGUGUACGGCCACAUUGGGACUGAGAUACGGCCCAGACUCCUACGGGAGGCAGCAGUGGGGAAUAUUGCACAAUGGGCGCAAGCCUGAUGCAGCGACGCCGCGUGGGGGAUGACGGCCUUCGGGUUGUAAACUCCUUUCGCUAGGGACGAGGCGCAAGUGACGGUACCUGGAGAAGAAGCACCGGCUAACUACGUG
rnacentral:rRNA from 1 species